rnacentral:rRNA from 1 species
GUGGGGAAUUUUGGACAAUGGGCGCAAGCCUGAUCCAGCAAUGCCGCGUGUGUGAAGAAGGCCUUCGGGUUGUAAAGCACUUUUGUCCGGAAAGAAAUCUCCUGGGUUAAUACCUCGGGGGGAUGACGGUACCGGAAGAAUAAGCACCGGCUAACUACGUGCCAGCAGCCGCGGUAAUACGUAGGGUGCGAGCGUUAAGCGGAAUUACUGGGCGUAAAGCGUGCGCAGGCGGCUAUGCAAGACAGAUGUGAAAUCCCCGGGCUCAACCUGGGAACUGCAUUUGUGACUGCAUGGCUAGAGUGCGUCAGAGGGAGGUGGAAUUCCGCGUGUAGCAGUGAAAUGCGUAGAGAUGCGGAGGAACACCGAUGGCGAAGGCAGCCUCCUGGGAUGACACUGACGCUCAUGCACGAAAGCGUGGGGAGCAAACAGGAUUAGAAACCCGUGUAGUCC